GCCCUGGUGGCACAAUGAUCAAGUGCUUGGCUACUAACUAAAAGAUUGGUGGUUUGAAUCCACCCAGUGGCU
rnacentral:tRNA from 1 species